rnacentral:rRNA from 1 species
GAUCAUGGCUCAGAUUGAACGCUGGCGGAAUGCUUUACACAUGCAAGUCGAACGGUAGAGGGGGCAACCCUUGAGAGUGGCGAACGGGUGAGUAAUAUAUCGGAACGUGCCCAGUCGUGGGGGAUAACGUAGCGAAAGUUACGCUAAUACCGCAUACGAUCUAAGGAUGAAAGCGGGGGAUCGCAAGACCUCGCGCGAUUGGAGCGGCCGAUAUCAGAUUAGGUAGUUGGUGGGGUAAAGGCUCACCAAGCCAACGAUCUGUAGCUGGUCUGAGAGGACGACCAGCCACACUGGGACUGAGACACGGCCCAGACUCCUACGGGAGGCAGCAGUGGGGAAUUUUGGACAAUGGACGCAAGUCUGAUCCAGCCAUUCCGCGUGCAGGAUGAAGGCCCUCGGGUUGUAAACUGCUUUUGUACGGAACGAAAAGGUUUCUCUUAAUACGAGGGGCUCAUGACGGUACCGUAAGAAUAAGCACCGGCUAACUACGUG